rnacentral:rRNA from 1 species
AUUGAACGCUGGCGGCAUGCCUUACACAUGCAAGUCGAACGGCAGCACGGGUGCUUGCACCUGGUGGCGAGUGGCGAACGGGUGAGUAAUACAUCGGAACAUGUCCUGUAGUGGGGGAUAGCCCGGCGAAAGCCGGAUUAAUACCGCAUACGAUCUACGGAUGAAAGCGGGGGACCUUCGGGCCUCGCGCUAUAGGGUUGGCCGAUGGCUGAUUAGCUAGUUGGUGGGGUAAAGGCCUACCAGGGCGACGAUCAGUAGCUGGUCUGAGAGGACGACCAGCCACACUGGGACUGAGACACGGCCCAGACUCCUACGGGAGGCAGCAGUGGGGAAUUUUGGACAAUGGGCGAAAGCCUGAUCCAGCAAUGCCGCGUGUGUGAAGAAGGCCUUCGGGUUGUAAAGCACUUUUGUCCGGAAAGAAAUCCUUGGCCCUAAUACGGUCGGGGGAUGACGGUACCGGAAGAAUAAGCACCGGCUAACUACGUG